AAACCAACAGGGAUUGCCUUAGUAACGGCGAGUGAAGCGGCAAAAGCUCAAAUUUGAAAUCUGGCACCUUCGGUGUCCGAGUUGUAAUUUGAAGAAGGUAACUUUGGAGUUGGCUCUUGUCUAUGUUCCUUGGAACAGGACGUCACAGAGGGUGAGAAUCCCGUGCGAUGAGAUGCCCAAUUCUAUGUAAAGUGCUUUCGAAGAGUCGAGUUGUUUGGGAAUGCAGCUCUAAGUGGGUGGUAAAUUCCAUCUAAAGCUAAAUAUUGGCGAGAGACCGAUAGCGAACAAGUACAGUGAUGGAAAGAUGAAAAGAACUUUGAAAAGAGAGUGAAAAAGUACGUGAAAUUGUUGAAAGGGAAGGGCUUGAGAUCAGACUUGGUAUUUUGCGAUCCUUUCCUUCUUGGUUGGGUUCCUCGCAGCUUACUGGGCCAGCAUCGGUUUGGAUGGUAGGAUAAUGACUAAGGAAUGUGGCUCUACUUCGGUGGAGUGUUAUAGCCUUGGUUGAUACUGCCUGUCUAGACCGAGGACUGCGUCUUGACUA
rnacentral:rRNA from 1 species